rnacentral:rRNA from 1 species
UACGUAGGGUGCGAGCGUUGUCCGGAAUUAUUGGGCGUAAAGGGCUCGUAGGCGGUUUGUCGCGUCGGGAGUGAAAUCCACUGGCUUAACUGUGGGCUUGCUUUCGAUACGGGCAGACUGAGGUAUGCAGGGGGAGAACGGAAUUCCUGGUGUAGCGGUGAAAAUGCGCAGAUAUCAGGAGGAACACCGGUGGCGAAGGCGGUUCUCUGGGCAUGUCCUGACGCUGAGGAGCGAAAGUGUGGGGAGCGAACAGG